GGAAUCUCCCGCAUCAAGAGAAACAUUCAGAAGGGAAUUGCGAAUUGCUUCUCCGUUAAUGAUCAAGGAGUCGUAUACUUCGGGGAUCGACUAGUGGUUCCCAAGGUGCGUAACCUGAGGCGAUUGAUCCUUAAGGAGGCUCAUGAAUCUCCUCUCACCAUUCAUCCCGGUAGCACAAAAAUGUAUCAGGACCUACGCCAGAGGUUCUGGUGGACUAGGAUGAAGAGAGAAAUUGCUCAGUAUAUUGCAAAUUGCGACGUCUGUCGUCGUGUAAAAGCAGAGCAUCAACGGCCUGCUGGC
rnacentral:rRNA from 1 species